AGAAGCAUACUAAGGGCACACGGUGGAUGCCUAGGCAUACAGAGGCGAUGAAGGACGCGUAAAGCUGCGAUAAGCUACGGGGAGCUGCAUACGAGCAAUGAUCCGUGGAUUUCCGAAUGGGGCAACCCACUCCAGUUUACUGGAGUACUCCUACGGGAGGGCAUACGAGGGGAACUGAAACAUCUAAGUACCCUCAGGAAAAGAGAACAAUUAAGUGAUUUCCCUAGUAGCGGCGAGCGAACGGGAAGCAGCCCAAACCGGCUUCCUACGGGGAGUCGGGGUAGUAGGACCUGCAUAAUGAGCGCUAGCUUAAGUCGAAACUGCCUGGAAAGCAGUCCCAUAGAAGGUGAAAGGCCUGUAGGCGUACGGCGAGCAAUCUGGCGGGUAUCCUGAGUAGCGCGGGGCUGGUGAAACCCUGCGUGAAUCUGCCGGCACCAUCCGGUAAGGCUAAAUACAUCUGUAUGACCGAUAGUGAACCAGUACCGUGAGGGAAAGGUGAAAAGAACGCCGAGAAGGCGAGUGAAAUAGUACCUGAAACCGUGUGCUUACAAGCGGUCGGA
rnacentral:rRNA from 1 species